AAAGAAGAAGAAAAAAUUCAGACAUA
rnacentral:sRNA from 1 species